CAGCAGUAAGGAAUAUUGCACAAUGGGGGAAACCCUGAUGCAGCAACGCCGCGUGAGCGAAGAAGGCCUUCGGGUUGUAAAGCUCGUCUUCGGGAAGAGCGGGUUGGUGACCGGAAGAGAGCGGACUGUACCCCAGGAAUAAGUCUCGGCUAACUACGUG
rnacentral:rRNA from 1 species